rnacentral:rRNA from 1 species
AUGUCCGACCAGCAGCCGCCCAGCACCCUCCUCCCCCUCGCCUCCCUUCCCCCAAACCCUAACCCUAACCCUACCCCGCCUCCCGUACCGGCCCCAACCCUUGCCCUCCACAUCCCCGCCAUCCCGAGCCCCAGCAAGCGCAAGCGCACCGGGUUCCGCCGCAAAGUCCCCUCCGCCGCCUCCCCUGCUCCUCACCCGCCGGUUCCCCCCUCCGCGGCGGACGACAUCAUAGUGAUCAACCGGGAGCCGACAGCGGAGGCCGUCACCGCGCUCACCGCCGGGUUUCCGGCGGAUUCCCUCACCGACGAGGAGAUCGAGGCGGGGGUGGUCUCGGACGUGGGCGGCAUCGAGCAGGUCAACUACAUCCUCAUCCGCAACCACCUCCUCACCAGGUGGCGGGAGACCUUCAACUCAUGGCUGGCCAAGGAGCCCUUCGCCUCGCUCAUCCCGCCCCACUGCGAGCACCUCCUCACCUCCGCCUACAACUUCCUCGUCUCCCACGGCCACGUCAACUUCGGCGUCGCCCCCGCCAUCAAGGAGCGCCUCCCCAAGGAGCCCACCAGGCCCAACACUGUCAUCGUUGUCGGCGCUGGCCUUGCUGGGCUCGCCGCGGCGCGGCACUUGCUGGCGUCCGGCUUUAAAGUGAUUGUAUUGGAGGGACGCAAGCGGUGCGGUGGCCGCGUGUACACGAAGAAGAUGGAAGGUGGUGGGCAUUCAGCUGCCGCUGACCUUGGUGGCAGCGUGCUUACCGGCACAUUUGGGAACCCACUCGGUGUUGUGGCUAAGCAGCUCGGCUUGCCGAUGCAUAAGAUCAGAGACAAGUGCCCACUGUAUCGGCCGGAUGGGUCGCCAGUUGAUCCAGAGGUGGAUAAGGAAGUGGAGGGAACAUAUAACAAGUUUCUUGAUAAUGCCAGCCACCUGCGGGCAGCCAUGGGGGAUGUGGCGAUGGAUAUCUCUCUUGGGGCGGCGCUCGAGACAUUACGGCAGUCUGAUGGGGGUAUCUCCUCAGAGGAGGAGAUAAACUUGUUCAAUUGGCAUAUAGCAAAUCUGGAGUACGCCAAUGCAGGAUUAUCUUCAAGGCUUAGCCUUGCAUUCUGGGACCAGGAUGAUCCGUAUGACAUGGGUGGGGAUCACUGCUUCUUGCCUGGUGGCAACGGGAGGCUUGUGCAGGCCCUGGCAGAGAAUGUGCCCAUUGUUUACGAGAGGACAGUGCACACUAUACGGUAUGGAGGGGAUGGUGUGCAGGUGGUUGUCAAUGGUGGUCAGGUGUAUGAAGGGGACAUGGCGCUGUGCACUGUGCCACUUGGGGUUCUGAAAAAUGGGGGUAUCAAGUUUGUACCUGAGCUGCCACAAAGGAAGCUUGAUAGUAUCAAGAAACUAGGCUUUGGGUUGUUAAACAAGGUCGCGAUGUUGUUUCCUCAUGUUUUUUGGAGCGCCGACCUUGAUACCUUUGGACAUCUGACUGAAAAUCCAAGUCGCCGAGGGGAGUUCUUUCUGUUCUAUAGCUAUGCAACAGUGGCUGGUGGUCCAUUGUUGAUGGCUUUGGUUGCUGGUGAGGCUGCCCACAACUUUGAAACCACGCCUCCAACUGAUGCUGUCAGCUCAGUUCUUCAGAUACUGAGGGGCAUCUAUGAACCACAAGGGGUUGAAGUACCAGAUCCUCUACAGAGUGUUUGUACAAGAUGGGGCACAGACUCUUUCAGUUUAGGUUCAUAUUCGCACGUUGCUGUUGGAGCAUCUGGAGAUGACUAUGACAUAUUAGCUGAAAGUGUUGGAGACGGGCGCUUGUUUUUUGCUGGAGAAGCCACCACAAGGCGUUACCCUGCAACAAUGCAUGGAGCUUUUAUUACUGGCGUACGAGAAGCUGCUAACAUCAAUAUCCAUGCCACCGCCCGAGCAACAAAGACCAAAGUAGUAAAAAGCCCAUCUACAAAUGCUCAAGCUUGUGCUACCUUACUAGUAGAUUUGUUUAGGCAACCGGACUUGGAAUUUGGGAGUUUCUCUGUUAUUUUUGGCAGAAAAGCCUCGGAUCCGAAAUCUCCAGCCAUUCUGAAGGUGGAGCUAGGUGGCCCUCAGAAGAAAAGUGCGACCGAAGGAGGGAAAAAAGAGCAGCACCACUCAAACAAAUCGUUGUUUCAGCAGCUACAGUCACAUUUCAACCAGCAGCAGCAGCUCUAUGUGUAUACAUUACUAUCGCGGCAGCAGGCUAUGGAGCUAAGAGAGGUUAGAGGGGGUGAUGAGAUGAGGCUGCAUUACCUCUGUGAAACCCUGGGCGUGAAAUUAGUUGGCAGGAAAGGUCUUGGUCCAGGGGCUGAUGCUGUGAUCGCUUCCAUUAAGGCGGACCGGAACAGCAGUAGAACUAAAUCUGGCCCCUCGAAGCUGAGAGUGCGGGUUUCUAAACCCCAACCUUCUGCUAAAUCGUGA